CUCUUUAUCCACUCAAAACUCUUCUCUCGGGACUCACAAAAAAGAAAAGGAGAUCCACUCACCUCUUCUCACAAUCUCUCUGCUGACAUUCACCAAGACCACUCACCUAACCCUCUCUCUCUGCUACAAAAAAAAAAGAAAAGAGAAAACGAAGAGGGUUCUCCCUCUUCUUCCACCACCAUCUCCUUCAUAACGCCAGUCACCGACCACCCUCAUCACCACAUUCUUCUUCUCCGGUCGUGCCCUCACCGUCUCCCUCAACUCCACCGUUCGCCAU
rnacentral:lncRNA from 1 species